ensembl:lncRNA RP9P RP9 pseudogene
AAGAGUUAUUGGCGCUUGCUCGGCAUUUGUGGACCGAACAGGCAAGUUCAACCGAGCACGCUGCCCCCGCGCUCCACCUCUGAGUUCCCUGGGCCACUGCGACAUGGAGAAACCCCGUUCUUUUCAUCCUCUGCUACGGAGAAGGGACGAGGACACGGGUCCUGCAGUGUUGGUGUGGCGAGGCCCGGAAGAAGAGAGAAUGGGCGGCGGGGACUGGCCACGGCGCUGCUAGUUAUGAAAAACCUCCUCCUGGGCUUAUCAAGGUUGGCAUUGCAAAUGGUAUGGUCACCGAACAGGCUACAAAGAAUGCCCUUUCUUUAUCAAAGACAACCAAAAGUUACAACAGUUCAGAGUAGCACAUGAGGAUUUCAUGUAUGACAUCAUACGAGACAAUAAACAACAUGAAAAGAAUGUAAGGAUACAGCAGUUAAAACAGUUACUGGAGGAUUCUACCUCAGGUGAAGAUAGGAGCAGCUCCAGUUCCUCUGAAGGUAAAGAGAAACACAAGAAAAAGAAGAAGAAAGAAAAGCAUAAGAAAAGGAAGAAAGAAAAGAAAAAGAAGAAAAAACGGAAGCACAAAUCUUCCAAGUCAAAUGAGGGUUCUGACUCAGAGUGACAAGGAUGUGACUUGUUCAACAUUCUCUUCUCAAACACUGACCAAGGAACAGAGGAAGAUGCAGUCAGAGAAAGUAGCAGGAUAGAGACGCCGAGAGAGGAGUAUAUGUGGGUCACAGCAGUGAGCUCCCACCCGCCUUGCAGUGAAGAUGUGACCCCAGGAGAGGGAGUGUCUCCUUCCAGGUGCUAGCUCUGGACAGCAGCUGAUUUUAGGCAGGAAAGUUUCUUCAUCGUUGUCCUCCCUGCUGGUCACAUGAGUUUACGAUUCCUUAGAAGUGUCUCCCACAGGGUGGCAGGACUGGGAGAAUCUCUGAGGCGUGUCUUCCAGGCCCUCCCACAGCUUGUGCCCUCCACAGUGUAGACUUGAACACUUGGCCUCAUGUGAUCCUUCCACCUUGGCCUCCCAAAGCAUUGGGAUUACAGGCGAGAGCCACUGGUUGGCUAAAAUAUUUAUAUUUACCUGACAUGAUUUGUUGAUUUGGGGGCUAGGGAGUUCUUAAAACAACAAUAAAAAAUCUUCUGUGGCUGCA